rfam:Takifugu rubripes genomic scaffold, scaffold_3153
ACAAAGGCUCUUUUAAGAGCCA